GAUGAACGCUGGCGGCGUGCUUAACACAUGCAAGUCGAACGGAAAGGCCCAAGCUUGCUUGGGUACUCGAGUGGCGAACGGGUGAGUAACACGUGGGUGAUCUGCCCUGCACUUCGGGAUAAGCCUGGGAAACUGGGUCUAAUACCGGAUAGGACCACAUUUUGGAUGGUGUGGUGGAAAGUUUUUCGGUGUGGGAUGAGCUCGCGGCCUAUCAGCUUGUUGGUGGGGUAAUGGCCUACCAAGGCGUCGACGGGUAGCCGGCCUGAGAGGGUGUACGGCCACAUUGGGACUGAGAUACGGCCCAGACUCCGACGGGAGGCAGCAGGGGGGAAUAUUGCACAAGGGGCGCAAGCCUGAUGCAGCGACGCCGCGUGGGGGAUGACGGCCUUCGGGUUGUAAACUCCUUUCGCUAGGGACGAAGCGUUAUGUGACGGUACCUGGAGAAGAAGCACCGGCUAACUACGUG
rnacentral:rRNA from 1 species